rnacentral:lncRNA from 1 species
CUCUGCUUAAGCUACAUUGUCAAUUUUGGUACGGUAUCACUAACUGAACAGUGGUGUUGACUUGAUAGAGUUGUGAGCUUUCUGGUGGGUUUGCUGUAUCCAUAUGUUUGGUCAAGUCAUUAUGGUCACCAUAGUCAGCUUUGCAACAAGUGUAGUAGGCAUACAUAUCAUAUUUGGGAUCAUUAAGACAUUUGUCUUGAGGUUUAGUAAUAUAACUGUUCAAUGUUUUUAACAGUACAACAAAAAGUCGUUGUUUAUACAACUUUAAUUAUUAUCCAUUGUCAGUAUUUCACUUUUAAUCAUCCAGACAUGUGUCCUAAACUUGCUAGUUGAUCACCAGGUAAUUGCCAAUACUCUUUUAUUGCUGUUUAUACAGUCUAAUCCUUAACACCUUCAUAGAUAACUCGAGGCUAUUUACCUUUUGACAUCAAAACAGUUAAAGGAAACUUCCGUUUUUCUCGGACUUUUCCGAUAUGAAUUUUGAGUUUCGCGGACUUUUUCCCUGUCAGUAUCAAUUUUGUAAACAAAAAUUUCUACUGGAGAUUUUUCGAGGUUGACAUUCUCAAAAAGCGGAAGAUUUCAAAUUUUAACGGUAGGGACGGGAUGGUCUUAAAAGCGGGAGAUUUUGACUCCCGCCGGAAGAAUCACAUGUAAUCAUUCAAUGAUUUAAAUAACCAGUGAAGGAUAUCCCUGCUUCAACGUAGUGUGGCAUUCCAACAAUGACGUCACUAUAAAAUAUAAUGUAGGUUGGAUAUAUUUAGAAUAUCUCGUCAUACUGAUUUUUCCGGAUUGUAAAAGAAACGUAAAUAGUGUAAAGGAGAGCUCAAUAUACGAUAAUUUCAAGAGAAACAGCAGGGAAAUGUGUAACCAGAUGCUCCGCAGGGCGUAGCUUUAUACGACCGCAGAGGUUGAACCCUGAACGGUUGGGGCAAGUAUGGACACAACAUUCAAGCUGGAUUCAGCUCUAAAUUUGGAUUGUGAUUAAAUAGUUGACACAGCAUAGGUUUCUGACACAGAAUGAAUGUGUUCUAAUGAACUUAAAUUUUUUUUUUCUCUUAGAGCAAUUCACUAUGCUGUUGAAUAUUAAUCCUCUCAAAAAAAUGUUUGAAGAAAUUUUCUUUUUUAUUUAUGAAAUU